rnacentral:rRNA from 1 species
AUUGAACGCUGGCGGCAUGCCUUACACAUGCAAGUCGAACGGCAGCGCGGGUGCUUGCACCUGGUGGCGAGUGGCGAACGGGUGAGUAAUACAUCGGAACGUACCUUAUCGUGGGGGAUAACGCAGCGAAAGCUGUGCUAAUACCGCAUACGCCCUGAGGGGGAAAGCGGGGGAUCGCAAGACCUCGCGCGAUUAGAGCGGCCGAUGCCUGAUUAGCCAGUUGGUGGGGUAAAAGCCCACCAAGGCGACGAUCAGUAGCUGGUCUGAGAGGACAAUCAGCCACAAGGGGACUGAGACACGGCCCAGACUCCUACGGGAGGCAGCAGUGGGGAAUUUUGGACAAUGGGGGCAACCCUGAUCCAGCAAUGCCGCGCGAGUGAAGAAGGCCUUCGGGUUGUAAAGCUCUUUUGUCAGGGAAGAAACACCGGCUCUAACACAGUCCGGGAAUGACGGUACCUGAAGAAUAAGUACCGGCUAACUACGUGCCAGCCGCCGCCGUAA